UACGGGAGGGGCAAGCGUUGUUCGGAAUUACUGGGCGUAAAGGGCGCGUAGGCGGUUUGCUAAGUUGGACGUGAAAACUCUGGGCUUAACCCAGAGCCUGCAUCCAAAACUGGCAAGCUGGAGUAUUGGAGGGGGAAGCGGAAUUCCUGGUGUAGCAGUGAAAUGCGUAGAUAUCAGGAGGAACACCGGUGGCGAAGGCGGCUUCCUGGACAAUAACUGACGCUGAGGCGCGAAAGCUAGGGGAGCAAACAGG
rnacentral:rRNA from 1 species